UACGUAGGGUGCGAGCGUUGUCCGGAUUUAUUGGGCGUAAAGGGCUCGUAGGCGGCGUGUCGCGUCGGGAGUGAAAGCCCGUUGCUUAACGGCGGGUUGGCCUUCGGUACGGGCAUGCUGGAGUGCGGCAGGGGAGACUGGAAUUCCUGGUGUAGCGGUGGAAUGCGCAGAUAUCAGGAGGAACACCGGUGGCGAAGGCGGGUCUCUGGGCCGUUACUGACGCUGAGGAGCGAAAGCGUGGGGAGCGAACAGG
rnacentral:rRNA from 1 species